AUGCUCCACCUGGAACUCAACCACAUUAAGGCACUGUUCAACUGGAAGGAAGGAAGACUUUCAGAAGGGAGACGAGGUAUUGUUCUUAAGAUGCAUCUGACACACAUGCAGACAUCGAGAGGAAGUUCACUCUACCAUCCAGUCCUCAACUCAUUUUGCUUGGCAUGUAUUUUGGCGUACAUCAAAAAAAUAUUAAUAAUAACUUCAUUUUAUAAGGAUAAUUAGGUAACUGCACAUAGUG